rnacentral:rRNA from 1 species
AGAAGGCGGCGGCUACCAUGCAAGUCGAGCGGAAACAAAAGUACUUGCUACUCUGGCGACAGCGGCGGACGGGUGAGUAAUGCUUGGGAACAUGCCUUGAGGUGGGGGACAACAGUUGGAAACCACUGCUAAUACCGCAUAAUGUCUACGGACCAAGGGGGGCUUCGGCUCUCGCCUUUAUAUUGGCCCAAGUGGGAUUAUCUAGUUGGUGAGGUAGUGGCUCCCCAAGGCGACGAUCCCUAUCUGGUUUGAGAAGAUGAUCACCCACACUGGGACUGAAACACGGCCCACACUCCUACGGGAGGCAACAGUGGGGAAUAUUGCACAGUGGGCGCAAGCCUGAUGCACCCAUGCCGCGUGUGUGAAAAAGGCCUUCGGGUUGUAAAGCACUUUCACUCAAGAAGAAAGGUUAGUAGUUAAUACCUGCUAUCUGUGACGUUACUGACAGAAGAAGCACCGGCUAACUCCGUGCCAGCACCCGCGGUAAUACGGAGGGUGCGAGCGUUAAUCAGAAUUACUGGGCGUAAAGCGUACGCACGCGGUUUGUUAAGCGAGAUGUGAAAGCCCCGGGCUCAACCUGAGAACUGCAUUUCAAACUGGCAAACUAGAGUGAGAUAGAGGGUGAUAAAAUUUCAUGUGUAGCGGUGAAAUGCGUAGAGAUCUGAAAGAAUACCGAUGGCGAACGCACCCACCUGGGUCAACUCUGACGCUCAUGUACGAGAGCGUGGAGAGCAAACGAGAUUAUAUACCAUUGAUUCUCA